GAUGAACGCUAGCUACAGGCUUAACACAUGCAAGUCGAGGGGCAGCAUGGUCUUAGCUUGCUAAGGCCGAUGGCGACCGGCGCACGGGUGAGUAACACGUAUCCAACCUGCCGUCUACUCUUGGACAGCCUUCUGAAAGGAAGAUUAAUACAAGAUGGCAUCAUGAGUCCGCAUGUUCACAUGAUUAAAGGUAUUCCGGUAGACGAUGGGGAUGCGUUCCAUUAGAUAGUAGGCGGGGUAACGGCCCACCUAGUCUUCGAUGGAUAGGGGUUCUGAGAGGAAGGUCCCCCACAUUGGAACUGAGACACGGUCCAAACUCCUACUGGAGGCAGCAGUGAGGAAUAUUGGUCAAUGGGCGAGAGCCUGAACCAGCCAAGUAGCGUGAAGGAUGACUGCCCUAUGGGUGGUAAACUUCUUUUAUAAAGGAAUAAAGUCGGGUAUGGAUACCCGUUUGCAUGUACUUUAUGAAUAAGGAUCGGCUAACUCCGUG
rnacentral:rRNA from 1 species